AAAUGGUUGGUACUUUUGUUUUUCUUGGUAACAAAUACAGCAAGAGACAGAAAUGGAUGUAUUUCAAAACAUCAAUAAGAACUUUGGGCAUACUCCCUCUCUAAAUAAAUGUGCUAUUUUCACAACUUUAUUUUAGGAAUGAGUGUAUCUGCAUAUCUCCAUGCUUCUGUGUAAUACAACUGAGCAGUGCAGCGGCGUCUAUGAAACUGAUGACAGGGAACCAAGUUGCGCACAUCGAGAUCCAGAAGCUCCAACUGUGUUGGAAAAGGGUUUAAAGGCAAUGGCUGGUGACCUUCAUCACAAUGGCAAACCUCACUCUCAUUUGGAAAGCACUUGCUGGUUUUGAUUUACCAUAAAAACAAGUAGGAACAAAACCUAAUUUUAAAUGCCUAAUGGUUAACUGAAUAAAUCUACCAACUUCUAAGUGAUACUGUCAAUCAUGGUGAGAAUGUUCACUCAAAGAUUCAGUAACAUGAAAACUUAAAUGAAGAUGUGCUCCAAGUGUUUGGCCUGCUGACAGUUUAUGAUGCAUGAAACGCAUACCUGUGAUUCUCUAAUGAGAAAAUAAAACUCAUCAUACAGGCAUGGUAAUAUCAAGUACAAUCGAAAUAUACCUAACAUCAUUUAUUAAGGUAUUGUUGUAGCCUGUUAAAAUAAUUCUAAGUAUCUCCCACUUUAGUUAGAAUUCAGUUUUCAGGAAGUAGAAACACUUUCCAGUUUUAUUUAAUAUUUAAUAGUAUUUUAUUUACUAACAUUUACUGUUUUUUCUUCAAUUUCUGGAAUUUACAUUUGACUUUAUUUCUAGAUAAAUUUAUGAGAAUGUUCAUUUCCCUAUUCUUUUGUUUUACAUUGAAAAAUUAAAUGCAGUUCUAUUUUUGUCUCUGGGGUUAUUUUGAUUGCCUUAUUUAAACUCACAAUGCCUACAAAAGUGGCUAGCACUGGCCCUACUUGGGACAUUCGAGAAUUUGAGAAAAUGCCUGAAGUUUCAACCUAGUGAAUGAGUGGGCAGGAAUCCAUGUCCGCUUUAGACCAGAACCUGUGGCACAAAGUCUUCUCAUUCAUGUUUAGACACUGACCUCUAGAAAGGAGCCAGCAACAUCCCAAGAAACACAGGAGGGAAUGGACAGCACCAGUCUCUCCUAACUCAGCUGCAGUCCUGAAACUUGUCAGCUAAGAGCUGCUCCUCCCAAAAGUGUUGAUGGCCCCCCUUUUCUACUUGCCACAUGUUUUAAUUUCUAAUUAAACUGUAUUCAUGUCUUAUUAAAGUGGAUUUUCAAACAACAAUAGAUUUUUAUGGUUUUGUUUAUAAUUCUUGUACUGAGUUUAUAAAAUACGACCACAUAUUAUAAUCCUUUCUGUACUGGUGACUGACUUUUCGUGCUGUGGAAGAUAUCUGACACAAACACUAUACAGGAUGCUGUAUUUAUCUUUGCUUACAGCUUCAGACGUUCCAUCUCAUGGUCGCUAGCUCCACAAUACAUUGCUGUGGUCGAAGCUUGGCCUUGGGCAGGUUCUCACCUCUGGCAGCAAAAAGAAAUGAAACAAGCAUGCCCCCAGGGAACAUACUUCCUCCCUCAGCCUUGUCUCUCAAAGUUUUUAUCAGCUUCCAAAAUAUGUCUAGGAAGCAUUCAUUGAGCAAGUGCCACGAAAUAGUCAACAAAUGCGCCUGUGGGGGACAUUUCAUACUCAAAUCUUAAUGGACAUAUAUUAACAUAAUAUAUAAAUAAUAAUAUUUAAAUAUUAUUACAUAAUAACAUUAUUUAUAUAUUAACAUAAUAUAUAAACUAGCAUAUAUUAGCUGAUGAGGAAAACUAUCCUUUAUUAGCUGACAAUCUAUGGAAAAUACUACAUUUUCGAUUCUAGUGUCUGCCUGCUAUCAUCAACUCUGCUGUGAGAAAAACAUCCAGUUUUGGUGAUAUCACUGAGGUCAAAGCCCAGAAUAUGCACUAUAUUCACAGGGAAUUCGCAGGCUGAUUCAAAGAAGGGAUAGAGCAUCCUCCAUUCAGCAUUUUCCCAAGGGGAGUAGUGUGAGCCCUAGCCAAUCUCUCACUUAUUCCACAGUUAAUGACACACUCUGUGUUCUAAGGCCAUCAGGCCAGGGUAGUGAUCAGUGUGUACUCUUUGGCUCCAUAGACCCCUUACUCCAGCAUGCUCCCUGAAGGCUGUAAGUCAAUGCAAAUAAGUGAUUGUACCAAUUGCCAUUCUUAGCUUUUACAUUCAGGUCAAUACCUUAUACCAGUAACAUUAUUUACCAUUUAAAAACAAUGUGUUGGCUACCUAAUUAUAUACAGCAGCUAGACAUAAAAUCAGGAAGUAAACAUUACAAAGCAGCAAUGCUUAGGAAAGCUAAGUGCCUACUGACUAUGACUUACUUUUUUUCACGCAGCUUUCUGAAACUUUGGAUUAAACUCAUUCAGUAGCAGCCUGCCCAUGUUUGCACACUGACUGGCUUGUAGUUUUAAGUCUAUUAGUGAUCAAACAGAAACAACG
rnacentral:lncRNA from 1 species